rnacentral:rRNA from 1 species
UACGGAGGAUGCAAGCGUUAUCCGGAAUGAUUGGGCGUAAAGCGUCCGCAGGUGGCAAUGUAAGUCUGCUGUCAAAGCGUCUGGCUCAACCAGAUAAAGGCAGUGGAAACUACAUAGCUAGAGUAAGGUAGGGGUAGAGGGAAUUCCUGGUGUAGCGGUGAAAUGCGCAGAUAUCAGGAGGAACACCGAUUGCGAAGGCAGCUCGCUGGGACGUAACUGACGCUGAGACGCGAAAGCGUGGGGAGCAAACAGG